GAAGAUUCAAUUUUGGGUCUCCACAUUCAUAAAGAUGUUAGUGAACCUAUUUUAAUUCUUUCCAAUGGGAAAGUUUCAACUUUAUGUACUAAAUAUCCCUCCGAUGUGAAAGCCUCUUUAUCAUCCCCGCCUCCUGAUAUAGGAAAUAUAGAACUUUUAUUAUAUAGCGAAGUUGGUUAUAUAUCCACUGAUGGACCACUUUACUUGUUGGCCAUUUAUAAAACAAACAUUUACUUUAUUUUGCUUUAUGAAUUAAGCAAAAACGGUCUUUUUAUAGUUUAU